rnacentral:rRNA from 1 species
GAUGAACGCUGGCGGCGUGCCUAAUACAUGCAAGUCGAGCGAACAGACGAGGAGCUUGCUCCUCUGACGUUAGCGGCGGACGGGUGAGUAACACGUGGAUAACCGACCUAUAAGACUGGGAUAACUUCGGGAAACCGGAGCUAAUACCGGAUAAUAUAUUGAACCGCAUGGUUCUAUAGUGAAAGACGGUUUUGCUGUCACUUAUAGAUGGAUCCGCGCCGCAUUAGCUAGUUGGUAAGGUAACGGCUUACCAAGGCAACGAUGCGUAGCCGACCUGAGAGGGUGAUCGGCCACACUGGAACUGAGACACGGUCCAGACUCCUACGGGAGGCAGCAGUAGGGAAUCUUCCGCAAUGGGCGAAAGCCUGACGGAGCAACGCCGCGUGAGUGAUGAAGGUCUUCGGAUCGUAAAACUCUGUUAUUAGGGAAGAACAAAUGUGUAAGUAACUAUGCACGUCUUGACGGUACCUAAUCAGAAAGCAACGGCUAACUACGUG